GCCAGCGUAGCUCAGUUGGUAGAGCGCCUCUUUUGUAAAGAGGUGGUCCGGGGUUCGAUUCCUCGCGCUGGCUCCA
rnacentral:tRNA from 1 species